rnacentral:rRNA from 1 species
UACAUGGGGUGCAAACGUUGCUCGGAAUUAUUGGGCGUAAAGCGCGCGUAGGCGGUUACUUAAGUCGGAUGUGAAAGCCCUCGGCUUAACUGAGGAAGUGCACCCGAAACUGAGUAGCUAGAGUACGAAAGAUGGUCGCGGAAUUCCCGGUGUAGAGGUGAAAUUCGUAGAUAUCGGGAGGAACACCGGUGGCGAAGGCGGCGACCUGGGUCGAGACUGACGCUGAGGCGCGAAAGCGUGGGGAGCAAACAGG